rnacentral:rRNA from 1 species
GAUGAACGCUGGCGGCGUGCCUAAUACAUGCAAGUCGAGCGAACAGAUGAGGAGCUUGCUCCUCUGACGUUAGCGGCGGACGGGUGAGUAACACGUGGAUAACCUACCUAUAAGACUGGGAUAACUUCGGGAAACCGGAGCUAAUACCGGAUAAUAUAUUGAACCGCAUGGUUCGAUAGUGAAAGACGGUUUUGCUGUCACUUAUAGAUGGAUCCGCGCCGCAUUAGCUAGUUGGUAAGGUAACGGCUUACCAAGGCAACGAUGCGUAGCCGACCUGAGAGGGUGAUCGGCCACACUGGAACUGAGACACGGUCCAGACUCCUACGGGAGGCAGCAGUAGGGAAUCUUCCGCAAUGGGCGAAAGCCUGACGGAGCAACGCCGCGUGAGUGAUGAAGGUCUUCGGAUCGUAAAGCUCUGUUAUUAGGGAAGAACAAAUGUGUAAGUAACUAUGCACGUCUUGACGGUACCUAAUCAGAAAGCCACGGCUAACUACGUG